CCUACGGGUGGCAGCAGUGGGGAAUAUUGGGCAAUGGACGCAAGUCUUACCCAGCAAUGCCGCGUGAAGGAAGAAGGCCUUCGGGUUGUAAACUUCUUUACUGAGGGACGAAGAAAGUGACGGUACCCCAGGAAUAAGCCACGGCUAACUACGUGCCAGCAGCCGCGGUAAUACGUAGGGGGCAAGCGUUAUUCGGAUUGAUUGGGGGUAAAGGGGGUGUAGGCGGGUAAGCAAGUCAGAUGUGAAAACGCAGGGCUUAACCCUGAGGCUGCAUUUGAAACUGGUAUUCUUGAGUGCUGUAGAGGAAAGUGGAAUUCCGGGUGUAGCGGUGGAAUGCGUAGAUAUACGGAGGAACACCAGUGGCGAAGGCGAAUUUCUGGACUGUAACUGACGCUGAGGCGCGAAAGCGUGGGGAGCAAACAGGAUUAGAUACCCGAGUAGUC
rnacentral:rRNA from 1 species